rnacentral:rRNA from 1 species
GAUGAACGCUGGCGGCGUGCCUAAUACAUGCAAGUCGAGCGAACAGACGAGGAGCUUGCUCCUCUGACGGUAGCGGCGGACGGGUGAGUAACACGUGGAUAACCUACCUAUAAGACUGGGAUAACUUCGGGAAACCGGAGCUAAUACCGGAUAAUAUAUUGAACCGCAUGGUUCAAUAGUGAAAGACGGUUUUGCUGUCACUUAUAGAUGGAUCCGCGCCGCAUUAGCUAGUUGGUAAGGUAACGGCUUACCAAGGCAACGAUGCGUAGCCGACCUGAGAGGGUGAUCGGCCACACUGGAACUGAGACACGGCCCAGACUCCUACGGGAGGCAGCAGUAGGGAAUCUUCCGCAAUGGGCGAAAGCCUGACGGAGCAACGCCGCGUGAGUGAUGAAGGUCUUCGGAUCGUAAAACUCUGUUAUUAGGGAAGAACAAAUGUGUAAGUAACUAUGCACGUCUUGACGGUACCUAAUCAGAAAGCCACGGCUAACUACGUG